GUCUUAAUAGUUUAAUAAUAAAACCUUGGUUUUGUAAAUCAAAAAUAAAAAAAAAUUUUUUUAAGACU
rnacentral:tRNA from 1 species